GGCGCGGUAGCCAAGUUGGUAAGGCAGAGGUCUGCAAAACCUCCAUCACCGGUUCGACUCCGGUCCGCGCCUCCA
rnacentral:tRNA from 1 species